rnacentral:tRNA from 2 species
GACAAUCUGUCCGAGUGGUCAAGGAGUGAGUCUAGAAAAUUUUCCCAUUCGAUCCCGCGUUUCGGGGGUAAACUCAUAGGCUCUGCCUGCACAGGUUCGAAUCCUGUGGUUGUCG